rnacentral:rRNA from 1 species
GCACUCUGGGACAAGCCCUGGAAACGGGGUCUAAUACCGGAUACUGAUCCGUCUGGGCAUCCAGACGGUUCGAAAGCUCCGGCGGUGCAGGAUGAGCCCGCGGCCUAUCAGCUUGUUGGUGAGGUAGUGGCUCACCAAGGCGACGACGGGUAGCCGGCCUGAGAGGGCGACCGGCCACACUGGGACUGAGACACGGCCCAGACUCCUACGGGAGGCAGCAGUGGGGAAUAUUGCACAAUGGGCGAAAGCCUGAUGCAGCGACGCCGCGUGAGGGAUGACGGCCUUCGGGUUGUAAACCUCUUUCAGCAGGGAAGAAGCGAAAGUGACGGUACCUGCAGAAGAAGCGCCGGCUAACUACGUGCCAGCAGCCGCGGUAAUACGUAGGGCGCGAGCGUUGUCCGGAAUUAUUGGGCGUAAAGAGCUCGUAGGCGGCUUGUCACGUCGGUUGUGAAAGCCCGGGGCUUAACCCCGGGUCUGCAGUCGAUACGGGCAGGCUAGAGUUCGGUAGGGGAGAUCGGAAUUCCUGGUGUAGCGGUGAAAUGCGCAGAUAUCAGGAGGAACACCGGUGGCGAAGGCGGAUCUCUGGGCCGAUACUGACGCUGAGGAGCGAAAGCGUGGGGAGCGAACAGGAUUAGAUACCCUGGUAGUCCACGCCGUAAACGGUGGGCACUAGGUGUGGGCAACAUUCCACGUUGUCCGUGCCGCAGCUAACGCAUUAAGUGCCCCGCCUGGGG